UACGAAGGGGGCUAGCGUUGUUCGGAAUUACUGGGCGUAAAGCGUACGUAGGCGGAUUGUUAAGUGAGGGGUGAAAUCCCGAGGCUCAACCUCGGAACUGCCUUUCAUACUGGCAAUCUUGAGUCCGGGAGAGGUGAGUGGAACUCCUAGUGUAGAGGUGAAAAUUCGUAGAUAUUAGGAAGAACACCAGUGGCGAAGGCGGCUCACUGGCCCGGAACUGACGCUGAGGUACGAAAGCGUGGGGAGCAAACAGG
rnacentral:rRNA from 1 species